rnacentral:tRNA from 1 species
UCCCUGGUGACUCAGAUGGUAAAGAAUCUGCCUGCAGUGCAGAAGACCCUGGUUCAAUCCUGGGUCAGGAAG